CAUUUGGUGGCUUUCCUGACAACUUUCAGGACCACAUUGUGUGGUGAUCGUGAGGAAAAGUGUCCUUUAUGUCAUAUGGAAACUCUGGAGUAUGAAAUUGGGAAUGGAGGUGUUGGAUGACCAAGGAAUGUUGAAGAGGAACUGGCACAUCAAAACAUGGAGGACAGAUCUGAGAUCAGAACAAAGUGUGAAAACUUGCUGUGGGAAUCAGCACAGAUGCUAUCAGCUAUAAAAGAUGGAAGCUGGACAUUGGAAAAGCUGAGCUCUCAGAAUCUGCCA